ensembl:lncRNA
AUGGAGGCCGUCACUUUAAAGAAAAACUUGGGGGGGGCAACAAAACAGGAGGAAAAUAAAUCGUCUUUUCAAAAGACACCUCAUGGUAUCGAGAUCACAGAAGGAAAUGAAACAACAAGCAAAAGUGGAAGUGGGUCACCUGUAGAAAAAGAUGCUGAAAUCCAGAAUGAAAGCACAGAAGUCAGACGUGUUGAAGUGCAGGUGCAGCGAGUUAAAUCAACCACAACAAAAGAUUUGCACAAGGUCGGCACUGCUCUGGGAAAAGGUCAAAAUAAAGCACCGGAUUCAAAAUCAGCACCAGUGGGGAAAGAAACCACACGUGUUCAGAUUAAUACUAAUAAAACUGGGAGGGUGAAAUCUACACCUGUGAAAGUUGAAGGUGAACUGCAAGAAGUGAAAACCACACUAGUCAGAAAUCUAAGUAAAUAUGGAGGAAACACUUCAAUCAAAAGUAAAAGCAAAGGAAACGUUUUAGAAAAAGAGUCAAACAGUCUGCAAAUGAGUGACAUGACUACAGAUGAGCAAAAGAUGCCUGACGCUGAAAAGUCCAAGCUCAAGGCUGAAAGAAAAACCGGAAGAGAAGGAGGUGAUGAAGUCCGAGUGGAAGGAGAGGAAGACUCUGAAGUCAUGACCAGGGCCAAACCGAGAAGCAAGGAGACCGAGGCUUCCAGCUCACCGAUAUCCCAGCAGGAUACACCGCUCGAACUCCGGAGUAAACCCAUUUCCUCACAAAGAACCGGGGCGGUUCCCAACGGGGGGGCGAACUCCCUGCCGGCCUCGGCACCUGUUGGGCAUCUGAUUGUUUCUGGAACGCGCAGAGAGGAAACUCAGAGCCUCACCGAAGAAGAGCCGAGGUGGGGGGAGAUCCUCGGUGCGGCGGCACGUCUUCUUCCGGCUGCUGGGACGGCAGCUGCAGCUGUGGGGCUGCUCGGUGAGGCGGUGACGGCCGUGGCGAUGCUGCAGUCUGAUAGUGACCCAGUUACCCCCACAGCCCCCAAGACGCCGGGUCGAGUGAAACAUUUCACGAAGCAGGGGGCAGUCACGCAGCCUUCGUUUUCCCCGACGGUGUCACAUUUUUCUUCCACAGAAGGUCCAAGUUCGCCGGAAGGAAGCACGAGGAAAGGCGGUCCGGUCAAGGAGAACGUGGUUUCAGAAGAGGAGGGUUGUGACGCCACUCGGUCACAACAGCGGGUGAGGAAAAUGGACGGGGGGGGAGACUUCUCACAAACAAAUCACGAGAACAGCGGCGCAGAUGAGGGAACUUCUCAGCAAAAACACGAAGGAGACGAGAAAACGCACACAGAUCGCGGCGGAGAAGAAGCCGAUACUGUAGACGAGGAAAAGGAGGUGGAUGAAGAAUGUAGAAGCAAUGUCAAAGACAAAGAGGAAGAAGAAGAAGAAGAAGAAGGGGGAGGUGAAAGUAUCAAUGACUUAGAGGAGAGUGUUACAGCAGCGACUGAGGAAGAGCAAGAUCAUGAAACCUCAGAGGGUGAGGAAACAGGUUCAAACAGUGAGGAAGAGGAUGAAGGAAUUGAGAAGGCUCAUGUGAAUGACACGGAUGAUGGGAAAGAAGAAAGCAGUGAGAGAGGAGGGGGAGCAGGAAGUGAGUCUGAUGAAAGUGAAGAAUCUAGUGAAGAAGAGGAGGAGAGUGAGGUGAGCGAGGAUGAGGACGAUGUUGGCGUUGAGGACUCAGGGAGCAGCAACAGCAAAGAGGAGGAGGAGGACGGACACAGAGGUGACGCUUUAGAGUCCGAUUCUGAAGUAGAAGAAGAAGAAGAAGACGAAGAAAGCAUUGAGAAUGAGGAAGAUGAGGAACUAAGAAAUAUCGACAAAGGUGAGGAUGAAGAGGACAACUCAGAUGAAGGGGAAGAGGAUAAGAGUGAAGGGGAGGAGAAUGAGACACAGGACAAAGCAAGUAAGGAUGAAGAUAGUGAGCCCGAUGAAGACGAGGAAAACCAGGAUAUAAGUGAGGGGAAAGAAGAGGAGGAGGAAUGUGAGACUGAAGCAUCUGUAGAUGAGGGAGAAGAUGAGGACAAGACUGCUGUUGAGGAAGAAGAGGGUGAGGANNNNNNNNNNNNNNNNNNNNNNNNNNNNNNNNNNNNNNNNNNNNNNNNNNNNNNNNNNNNNNNNNNNNNNNNNNNNNNNNNNNNNNNNNNNNNNNNNNNNAAGAGGGUGAGGAGGAAGAAGAAAGAAAGGAGGGAUUUACAGAACAGAAAGAAGAGAGUGAGGAGGAAGAAGAGGGUGAGGAGAAAGAAGAAAGAAAGGAGGGGUUUACAAAGGAGGAAGAAGAGGGUGAGGAGGAAGAAGAGGGUGAGGAAGGGCUCACAGAGGAGGAAGGAGAAGAUGGCAAAGGAGAGUUAG